GGGGAGGAGAGAAUGAGAAUCUCAUGGCAGAAAAGGGAGGAGCCCAGAAACCUACACUUGCUUUUUAACAAUCCACUCUUGGUAGCAGGGGAUUUAGCUCAGUGGUUUUACCCCCUGCUGCGCAAGCGCAAAGACCCAAGUUCAAUCCCCGGUACCAAAAAAAAUCCACUCUUGGUAACUAAUCCAGCCCUGCCCAUUCCUGAGGUGGGAAUGAAUCCUUCCACUGUGCCCUUAACUGCCUCUACUAGGCCCCGCCUCUUAAAGAUGGCUCAUCUCUCAACAGGAGUGCUGUAGACUCAGCUUCCAGUAUAGGAAUCUCUGGGGGACAAAUCACAUCCAGGCCACAGUAAUGCCUCAGUCACUGUGGUGCUAUUCUUAGUGGAACUUGCAUCGAAGUGGGCGCUUCUGGGAUAAUCUUCCUCUGCCUUCUGCAGAGUGAGCCUGGGUCAAGACUUCAACAGAGAAGCUGCCCCGACCACUGGUCACCCUGGUGCCUCCUCAGAUAGGUACAUGGCUUUGUUCCCUCAGUUCUCCAAGUUUUUGGUACCGGGGAUCGAACUCAGGACCUUGCGCUUGCAAGGCAGGUGGUGGAACCGCUGAGCUAAAUCCUCAGCCUCCUCCCAAGUUUCUUAACAAAAAUCUGCCAAAGAACCUGGUUUGUCCCUGAAUUUUUCUUUGUUUUAAAAUAUUUUUGAGAUAGAGUCUUGCUAAGUAUUUCAGACUGGCCUUGAACUGUGUAACCCAGACUGGCCUCAAACUCAUGGUGAUCUUCCUGCUUCAGCCUCCUGAGUGCUGGGAUUGAAGGCUUGAGCCACUCCGCCUGGCUUGUCCCUGAAUUUUCUAACCCAGCCCGAAGUACCAUGCGAUUUUAUAACUUGCUGAGCUAGAAGGGCCAUGGGCACUUUCAUGAAUGCUGGGGUGCAGGGACGGGGUGUGAUUCCAUGGUAGACCAUUUGCCUAGCGUGUGUGAGCCCUGGGCUCCAUCCCCAGCACUGGAGGGAAAUAGGUAGAGUCCUCUUUUCUCUCUUGACGACACAUUCUAAGAGUGAGAGUAUGUUUGGUGAACCUAGUGCUUCCAAAGCCAUAAAGCAGAGCUGACGGAAUAAAGAAUUAGCCCCUCCAGCUAACAUGAAGGUAAGCAGCUCUCCUACAGGUCAAAUGCUGUAUUAAAAUGUAGUAAAGAAUGUACUUCUUUUUUUUUUUUUUGGAGACAAAUGUCUCGCUAUGUAGCCCCGGCUGACCUCAAACUCAUGGCAAUCCUCCUGCCUCAGCCUCCCGAGUGCUGGGAUUACAGAAGAAUGUAUUAUUGAGACAAUGGACAAUGAGAAAUAUUUGAAUGUCUCUGAUACAUCCAUAUAACCACAAAUCCAUGUAUUUUACCUUUCUGUUCAGCAAGGUAACCUAACAUAAAAAAGUUCUGUUGGGUAAACAUAAGAAUUUAAAGAAUUUUAGAGCUAGGCAUGGUGGUAUGCACCUGUAGUCCCAGAUCCAGGCUACUUGAGAGGCCAGGAUGGGAAGGUUGCAAGUUCAAGGCCAGGAUGGGUAGUCUAGUGAGACCCUUUCUCAAAAGAGGAUGGGGGUAUAGUUCAAUGUUCCCUGGGUUCAAUGCCUGGUAAAACACACACAAAAGAAUUUUAAACAUAUAGGAAGAAAUGGGGACCAAGUACUCAGCAGAAAAAUAAAUCUGUAUCAGUGAUCUGUGAUGGUAAUGUCAUAAUGAUGACAUCAUAGUGGCGAUGAAAUCAUAAUGAUGUUGUCCACUUGCCUUUUCAUUUCUCCCUCUCUGCUUCUGCUGUUGACCCACUGAAACUUCCCUAGGGCACAAGGGUGUGAUGAAGUCCCACGAGGUCCCACGACAAAUACGAAUGGAAAAAGUCAAGACUACUAAAUGGUGGAAAGGUGUGUUUGGGGGGGACAGUCACAGACACUGUGGGCCAGAUCAUAAGAAUCAGCACAGCCACCUUGGUCUUGAACCAAGUGGCCACCAGGAUGUUCAGCCUGGCGCCAGGGUGGGUGCCCUGCAGAGGGGUGAUGGGAACAGCAAGCGCUCCAUGGCUCCGCCCACAUGGAGAGCUCCUUUUGCUAGCAUCUGUUAACCUUAUUUGCCUCUGAAAAACUGUUGGCUGUGAAUAAGAAAGGGGACCUCCCUUUCAGAAUCAUGGAAGCCAGAGGCCCCAUCAUGCUUUGUGGCACUGUAACAGGAAGAAACACACAAUGGAGACAUUUACCUUCCAGAGCUCAGAGUUGUCUACAUACAAGAAUAAUAUGAGGGCUGGGGAUUUAGCUCAGUGGUUCUGCUGCCUGGCUCACAAGCGCAAGGACUUGAGUUUGAUUCCUGGUACCAAAAAAACCCCCCAAAAACUCAGGCACUUUGUUUUUUCUUCUUGUAGUGCUGGGGAGGAACCCAUAGCCUUGUGCAUGGUCUAGUCCAGGCACUGCUGGUACUUUAUAAGGUGUCUGAACUUUUAAAAAGAUCUGUGAGCCAGUGUGGGGGUGUGUGCUGAUCAUCCCAGCACUCUGGGAGGCUGAGGCAGGAGGACUGCAGGUUCCAGCCCAGCCUGGGUAACUCAGCAACUUACUGAGACCCUGUCUUGAAAUAAAAAAUAAAAGGGCUGAUGAAGUAGCCCAGUGUGAAUGCCCUGGGUUCAACCCCCAGUACCUGAAAAAAGAAAAAAAACAAGGAUUUGUGGCUGUCUUAGGGUGUCUAUUUUCUGUUACCGUCAGAGAAUAUCUGAGACUGGGUGAUUUAUAAACAAUUUUAUUUUCGCUUGCAGUUCUGGGGGCUGAGAAGGCCACUGGGGAGGGCUUCAAGCUACAUCAGCUCAGGGUGGAAAGCACAAAGGCAGCUGGGGACAGGCGGGCACAUGUAAGGGAAGAAGCAAGAGGCAAAGCACAAGCAGCCUCACUUUAAAGCAACCAGCUCUUGUGGUAACUAGUCCAGCCCUGCAAGAGUGAGAACUCGAUCCUACCUUGAAAAUCAACCUAGCCCUGUGAGAAAGGAAUGAAUCACGUUCCAUACCUAUUAUGCAAACAGCUGUUAAAGAUCGCGCUUUCUCUCCACACUAUGCUAGCCACUGUGUUAUUACCUUUCCUCCGCUGGCACAAAGCACCUGACACCCACAGGCUUCAAGGAGAGGUUGAUUUGGUUCAUGGUUUCAGGUAGUGCAGUCCAUGCCUUGCUCCAAGGCAGAAACAUGGUAAAAAGGCCUGGGGAGAACAGCUGCUCACCUCAUGGAGGCGGGAAAGCAAAGUGGGUUGUUAGGAGAGUGGAGAGGAAAGGGCUGGGAAACAGAUGCAGAGUCCAAGGUCAGACCACCAUGCCCCACUUGGAUGCACCUGGAAGUGUGUCACUAAUCUGGCAGGCUUUUUGAUCCAGUCAGGCUAACAAUCACAGUAGUCACAAGUACAAAGCCUUAGUAUGAAUUCUGGCAGGGACAAAUCAUAUUCAGACUAAAUUGGGGCCUUGAUAGGGCUGAAAGAGUAUUCUCAGGAGCUGUUAGGUACUAUGCUUGGUUCUCUUGCUUGUUACUUUAGUUGAGCUGUUGGGCAAUAGGAAGUGUCUGACAAUCUCUGGAAAUCUCAUCUUUGAAAUCUGAGAAAUCAGGGAACUGAAGACAAGAGAGAUAAUCAUAGCAUUUCUGGUUUCCUAAAAGCCUUUUUUGGGGGGGGAAGUUCAGACAGGGUCUCACUAUGUAGUUCAGGCUGACCUUGAACUCAAUAUGUAGCCCAGGCUGGGCUUGAACUCACUGUAAUUCUCCUGCCUCAGCCUCUCAAGUGCUGGGAUGACAGGCAUGCACUACCACGCCAGGCUGCUAAAAGCUUUUGCUUAUAGCUGGGAAGAAUAUGCUAGGGAUGUUCCAUGCUGCCAACACUGACUUCAAGAGGGAGGCUGGCAACCUCCUGGGAAAGGAGUGUACAGAGAUAACUGUUAACACAUGAAGUACUGCUCGCUCUGAGAAGGUUCUGAGAAGCCAAGCCUGGGAACAGUCCCUCUAGCCACGCAGGCCUGUUGGGACCAAGUCACUUUUGUCUGAAUGCAGUACUUAAGGAACAGAGAAACUGGGUAUGGUGUGGUGUUUUCUCUCUUGCUUGUUGAAGGCUCCAUCUCAUAAAAGAUCCUUCCCCUGGAGGAUUCCCCUUCAUCUUUGGUGCUGUCCCUUACCUUGUGUGGUAUUAUUUGACUAUGCUUAUUAUCUGCUGU
rnacentral:lncRNA from 1 species